rnacentral:rRNA from 1 species
AGCGGAAACGAGUUAUCUGAACCUUCGGGGGACGAUAACGGCGUCGAGCGGCGGACGGGUGAGUAAUGCCUAGGAAAUUGCCCUGAUGUGGGGGAUAACCAUUGGAAACGAUGGCUAAUACCGCAUAAUGCCUACGGGCCAAAGAGGGGGACCUUCGGGCCUCUCGCGUCAGGAUAUGCCUAGGUGGGAUUAGCUAGUUGGUGAGGUAAUGGCUCACCAAGGCGACGAUCCCUAGCUGGUCUGAGAGGAUGAUCAGCCACACUGGAACUGAGACACGGUCCAGACUCCUACGGGAGGCAGCAGUGGGGAAUAUUGCACAAUGGGCGCAAGCCUGAUGCAGCCAUGCCGCGUGUGUGAAGAAGGCCUUCGGGUUGUAAAGCACUUUCAGUCGUGAGGAAGGUAGUGUAGUUAAUAGCUGCAUUACUUGACGUUAGCGACAGAAGAAGCACCGGCUAACUCCGUGCCAGCAGCCGCGGUAAUACGGAGGGUGCGAGCGUUAAUCGGAAUUACUGGGCGUAAAGCGCAUGCAGGUGGUUUGUUAAGUCAGAUGUGAAAGCCCGGGGCUCAACCUCGGAAUAGCAUUUGAAACUGGCAGACUAGAGUACUGUAGAGGGGGGUAGAAUUUCAGGUGUAGCGGUGA